ACAAGUCCGGUGGUGCAGUAUUCUAGUCGGUCGUCCAUGCGCCUGAAGGCGGGGCUAAAAAUCCGUCAAUGGCACAUCGAUGAAGUCUCUGGUGUUGGCUUCUUUCGCCCAGAUUGGGGCUGAUGCUGGGGGUUAAGAUUGUCGGGCGUCUUGCAACGGCAUGCAAGAGCCGACCCGGCAAUCGUGGAGGCCCGUUAGGGUGGAGGGCGCAAAUGACCUUCUACUCUGCGGGGUAGGAACCUGUCAUGCGGCCAAACAGCUGUGUACAGUGUAGCCUGCCUUGCGUGGCCUUGGUGGAUGAGAGGAACGCCUUGUUUGUCUGGCCGGACAAAUGAGAAGAUUGCCUUCUGAAACCUUGGCUGCAAAAGAGGAUAGGGCCAUGGAGGAUCGCUGAGGAAAGCUCCUAGACUGUUGGUAAGGUAUACCGGGGAUUACAGUGUGCUCUCACAGGCAAUCUGGUCGUGUGAACGGAAACGCCACAUCGUUUUGUUUAAAGGGAAACCGCUCUCUCGGCGACGGAGGGUACGAAACGGGGAAAGCCAACCAGACCUUAUGGCGCAAGGUUUAUUCGGUAUAUCACCACCGCACUAUU
rnacentral:sRNA from 1 species